GCGAAAGCGAGUCUGAAUAGGGCGUUGAGUAUUUGGUCGUAGACCCGAAACCAGGUGAUCUACCCUUCGUCAGGUUGAAGUUCAGGUAACACUGAAUGGAGGCCCGAACCGACUUACGUUGAAAAGUGAGCGGAUGAACUGAGGGUAGCGGAGAAAUUCCAAUCGAACUUGGAGAUAGCUGGUUCUCUCCGAAAUAGCUUUAGGGCUAGCCUCAAGUGAUGAUUAUUGGAGGUAGAGCACUGUUUGGACGAGGGGCCCCUCUCGGGUUACCGAAUUCAGACAAACUCCGAAUGCCAAUUAAUUUAACUUGGGAGUCAGAACAUGGGUGAUAAGGUCCGUGUUCGAAAGGGAAACAGCCCAGACCACCAGCUAAGGUCCCAAAAUAUAUGUUAAGUGGAAAAGGAUGUGGCGUUGCCCAGACAACUAGGAUGUUGGCUUAGAAGCAGCCAUCAUUUAAAGAGUGCGUAAUAGCUCACUAGUCGAGUGACACUGCGCCGAAAAUGUACCGGGGCUAAACAUAUUACCGAAGCUGUGGAUUGUCCUUUGGACAAUGGUAGGAGAGCGUUCUAAGGGCGUCGAAGCAUGAUCGCAAGGACAUGUGGAGCGCUUAGAAGUGAGAAUGCCGGUGUGAGUAGCGAAAGACGGGUGAGAAUCCCGUCCACCGAUUGACUAAGGUUUCCAGAGGAAGGCUCGUCCGCUCUGGGUUAGUCGGGUCCUAAGCUGAGGCCGACAGGCGUAGGCGAUGGAUAACAGGUUGAUAUUCCUGUACCACCUAGUAUCGUUUUAAUCGAUGGGGGG
rnacentral:rRNA from 1 species